UGCGAGCGUAUCUGUCAAAUGUACGGUUAAAGGGCUAUUUCGCAUUUUUUGCCGAUCCGCACACAUUGGAAUUUCGCUAACUCCUCCGAAGGCUUUCGUUCCAAAGGCACCACAUUUGCUCAGGCCAAUCUACACCCCAUGGCCAUUAAAAGUUGUACAAAUCAUGACGCUGCACCCCACGGUUUACGUUCUAGGGGGCGCCAAAGAUAACCCAAAAAUCCACAGUCUUAAAAGUCUUAUAACUUUUUAUUUUUGUCCUCACUGGCCUCCAAGUUCUCUAGGAUGAUGCAAUGUCCAGCCAUCAACACAUUUGUGAAGGAAUUUUUACUCGCCAAAAGAGCGCCCCCCCAUGGCAGGAGAAAAAAGUCCAUUUUUUCUUGUCUCCUAAGGCGAAAAUACACAUUGUUGACUGUCACGCCUUUACGCUUUGUCAAAAUGACACAAAAUUUGACACACACAUGUAUCUCAAUAAGAUCUACGAAAAAGUCAAUGCGAGCGUAUCUGUUCAAUGUACGGUUAAAGGGCUAUUUCGCAUUUUUUGCUGAUUCGCACACAUUGGAAUGUGGCUAACUCCUCCUAAAUCUUUUGUCCCAUCGGCUUCAAAUUUGCUCAGGUCAAUCUACACCCCAUGGCCAUUCAAAGUUGUACAAAUCAUGACGCUGCACCCCACAGUUUACGUUCUAGGGGGCGCCAAAGAGGACCCAAAUAUCCACAUUUUUAAAAGUCUUAUAACUUUUUAUUUUUGUCCUCACUGGCCUCCAAGUUUUCUAGGAUGAUGCAAUGUCCAGCCAUCAACACAUUUGUGAAGGAAUUUUUCUCCCCAAAAGAGCGCCCCCCAUGGCAGGAGAAAAAGUCAAGUUUUUCCUGCCCAUCGCUCAAUGGCUCAAACGCAUCGCUCUCUCGGCAAAACCGAAAGGAGGAGCAACUUGCCAUUUGGAUAUAUACUAGCUGUGUUUGUGCCCUCACUCAUGGUCCAGACUUUUUUCAAAAAGGACAUGGAGUUUGUCUGCAGCGAGCGUUUUGGUAGAAACUGCGCCUCCCAUUCAUUAUAAUGGUAAAUGACCACAGACAAGUGCGCACACCAUCUUUGGACCUUGAGUGUGACGCGAUCGGGAGGGGUAGGCGGUCGCGCUGGGGGCGGCGCGACACGGCUCGGGCCCGCCAGUGCCCCAACGGGGCCCUAGUUAUUAUUAUUUUUCCUCCGCUUUAAACUGGAAAAUGGCCCACUUCCCACCGGCGAAAACUCAUGAAAUUUGGCAGGAUGACCGGGCCUGGUGAAAAAUUCGAUAUUCUGAUGUCGCCCAAACAAUAAAAUGCAAAAUGGCUCAAUAGCGCCCCCAAAGGUGAAA